rnacentral:rRNA from 1 species
AAACCGCUUAGGGGUUAAGCCCGAUGAACCUGAAUAUCUGAAAUGAGAAAUUCAAUAUUAUAUUAUGUUUAAUUAUUUUAAAUAUAAUUGGUAUGCACUUUUCUCAUAGUAAGACAUUGCAAUCCAUUAAUAUUAAUUUUAUCAUAUGGCUUGUAUAUACAGUUUAUUCUAUCUGUAAUAAUUUUUUUAAUUAUUAUAUGAAUAAAUAUAUUGCGAUGACCUGAUAAAUAAUUGAUGGAGUUUAAAAAUCAUACAAACAUACAUGUAUGUAUCACAAUAUAAAAUUUUUUUUUAUAUGUAGUGAUUGUAUGUAUUUGAUUAGCAAUGCGAUAGAUUUGGGAUACCUUCGGGACCCGUCUUGAAACACGGACCAAGAAGUCUAACAUGUGUGCGAGUCAUUGGGUAUAUAUUGUUGAAACCUAAAGGCGCAAUUAAAAUAACUAUAUUUUAUAAUGGGAUUACAAGUAAUUUAUAUUUAUAUGAUUACUUCUCCAUCCCGGGGCGUUCUAUAUUAAACAUGAUUAAAGUAAUUUGGUCCUCUGUUUAAGAGCGUACCUUGAGCAUACAUGCUGUGACCCGAAAGAUGGUGAACUAUACCUGAUCAGGUUGAAGUCAGGGGAAACCCUGAUGGAGGACUGAAGCAGUUCUGACGUGCAAAUCGAUUGUCAGAAUUGGGUAUAGGGGCGAAAGACCAAUCGAACCAUCUAGUAGCUGGUUCCCUCCGAAGUUUCCCUCAGGAUAGCUGGUGCAAUGAUAAAUCUACAUAUAUAAUCUUAUCUGGUAAAGCGAAUGAUUAGAGGCCUUGGGGUCGAAACGACCUCAACCUAUUCUCAAACUUUAAAUGGGUAAGAACCUCAUCUUUCUUGAUCUGAAGAUAUUGAGGUUUAGAUAUAUUGUGCCCAGUGGGCCACUUUUGGUAAGCAGAACUGGCGCUGUGGGAUGAACCAAACGUGAUGUUACGGCGCCAAAAUUAAUGACUCAUAUUGAUACCAUGAAAGGCGUUGGUUGCUUAAAACAGCAGGACGGUGGACAUGGAAGUCGUAAUCCGCUAAGGAGUGUGUAACAACUCACCUGCCGAAGCAACUAGCCCUUAAAAUGGAUGGCGCUCAAGUCAUAUGCCUAUACAUCACCGCUAGAAUAAAAAAAUAUAUAUUUUAUUAUAUAUAUUUAUUAAAUUCUAGUGAGUAGGAGGGUACAAUGGUGUGCGCAGAAGUGUUUGGCGUAAGCCUGCAUGGAGCCGCCAUUGGCACAGAUCUUGGUGGUAGUAGCAAAUAAUCGAAUGAGAUCUUGGAGGACUGAAGUGGAGAAGGGUUUCGUGUGAACAGUGGUUGAUCACGAGUUAGUCGGUCCUAAGCUCUAUGCGAAAGCUGUUUAAUUUAUGUU